rnacentral:misc_RNA from 1 species
GAUGAAGAACGUAGCGAAAUGCGAUAAGUAAUGUGAAUUGCAGAAUUCAGUGAAUCACCGAAUCUUUGAACGCACAUUGCGCCCCCUGGUAUUCCGGGGGGCAUGCCUGUUCGAGCGUCAUUUCAACCCUCAAGCUCUGCUUGGUAUUGGGCGUCGCCGGGGAGUCUCCCCGGCGUGCCUCAAAGCCAUCGGCGGUGGUGCCUUUCUCUAAGCGUGGUAGAAUUUUUAUUCGCUUCUGAGUUGGGCUUCGCCUGCCGGACAAACCGGGCCCUCGCGGCCCACCUUCUCAGGUUGACCUCGGAUCAGGUAGGGAUACCCGCUGAACUUAAGCAUAUCAAUAAGCGGAGGA